rnacentral:rRNA from 1 species
GGCCUAACACAUGCAAGUCGAGCGGUAACAUGGUUGGUAGUAAUACUGACUGAUGACGAGCGGCGGACGGGUGAGUAACACGUAGGAACUUGCCCAAAAGAGGGGGAUAACCAAGGGAAACUUUGGCUAAUACCGCAUACACUCGAGAGAGGAAAGCUGUUGGAAGUAAUUCUAAUAGUGCUUUUGGAGAGGCCUGCGUCUGAUUAGCUAGUUGGUGAGGUAAAAGCUCACCAAGGCGAUGAUCGGUAACUGGUCUGAGAGGACGACCAGUCACACUGGGACUGAGACACGGCCCAGACUCCUACGGGAGGCAGCAGUGGGGAAUAUUGGACAAUGGGGGAGACCCUGAUCCAGCGAUGCCGCGUGAGUGAAGAAGGCCUUCGGGUCGUAAAGCUCUUUAGGUUGGGAAGAAGGUAAUGAGAUGAUAAAUUUCAUUGCUUGACGGUACUG